ensembl:lncRNA
UCUGGUCUGGUCUCUGGUCUCUGGUCUCUGGUCUCUGGUCUCUGGUCUGGUCUCUGGUCUCUGGUCUCUGGUCUCUGGUCUCUGGUCUCUGGUCUGGUCUCUGGUCUCUGGUCUGGUCUCUGGUCUCUGGUCUGGUCUCUGGUCUGGUCUCUGGUCUCUGGUCUCUGGUCUGGUCUCUGGUCUCUGGUCUCUGGUCUGGUCUCAGGUCUCUGGUCUGGUCUCUGGUCUCUGGUCUCUGGUCUCUGGUCUCUGGUCUCUGGUCCCUGGUCUCUGGUCUCUGGUCUCUGGUCUGGUCUCUGGUCUCUGGUCUCUGGUCUCUGGUCCCUGGUCCUGGUCUCCUGGUACCUGGUUCCUGGUCUCUGGUCUUAUUGUUUUAAGGGUUCCUCAUUGAUGAGGUCCAGUUUUUGCGUUUUCUCUGAGUUUGAUUGGACGUUUCCCGCUGUUCAGUCCCUCUUUG